UGGCUCAGUCGGUUAAGCAUAUGACUCUUGACAAGCUUACUAAAUGCCACACCACAGGUGGUUUCUCUCCGGCUUUCAAAUACGCAUCUCCGUGCCUUUGGCUGGGGUUCCCUCAGUCUAGAAUACCCUUCCUGUUCUUGUUCUUGUGGGCUUGGGCUUGACAAUUCCUACUCAUGCUUCAUGCCCAGUUUAAAUAGCAGUUCCUCUGUGAAGCCU